UUAUCUCUGUAGAGUCUGCAUAUCAAUAAGCGGAGGAAAAGAAACUAACAAGGAUUCCCCUAGUAACGGCGAGUGAAGCGGGAAGAGCUCAAAUUUGAAAUCUUAAAGGGUUUCCCUUUACGAAUUGUAGUUUAAAGAAGUGUUCUCUGUUGAAGUUUUGGUAAAAGUUCUUUGGAAUAGGACAUCAUAGAGGGUGAGAAUCCCGUAUUUGACCGUUACUUUCCAGCUGUGUGAUACACUUUCAAAGAGUCGGAUUGUUUGGGAAUGCAGUCCAAAAUGGGUGGUAAAUUUCAUCUAAAGCUAAAUAUUGGCGAGAGACCGAUAGCGAACAAGUACCGUGAGGGAAAGAUGAAAAGAACUUUGAAAAGAGAGUUAAACAGUACGUGAAAUUGUCAAAAGGGAAGCGUUUGACACCAGUGUUGUUUUCUCGAAAAUCAAUUAAAAAUGGCUGGGAUUUUGUGUUGUAUUGACUUUAUCAGCUUUCUGCACUUUUUUCCUAUCUUUUUUAAUGCACUUUUCGUUUAACAAGUCAACAUCAAGUUUCUUUUGUUGUAAAAGGGUCAUUGGAAGGUGGCUUUCUUUUCGGAGAAAGUGUUUAUAGCCUUUGAUCUCUGCAAUCGGAGAGAUUGAGGUCUGCAGCGUAGAUCCUUCGGGGUUAGAUACAUUUGUGCUAAGUUAUAGCUUUUUAUAGACAACUUGUUGACUAUAUUUAGUCUUGUGGCUUACUCGCUUAUGCUAUUUUACCUACGCUUAGGAUGUUGAGUAGCGACAUACGCAC
rnacentral:rRNA from 1 species